GAUGAACGCUGGCGGCGUGCCUAAUACAUGCAAGUCGAGCGAACAGACGAGGAGCUUGCUCCUCUGACGUUAGCGGCGGACGGGUGAGUAACACGUGGAUAACCUACCUAUAAGACUGGGAUAACUUCGGGAAACCGGAGCUAAUACCGGAUAAUAUAUUGAACCGCAUGGUUCAAUAGUGAAAGACGGUUUUGCUGUCACUUAUAGAUGGAUCCGCGCCGCAUUAGCUAGUUGGUAAGGUAACGGCUUACCAAGGCAACGAUGCGUAGCCGACCUGAGAGGGUGAUCGGCCACACUGGAAUUGAGACACGGUCCAGACUCCUACGGGAGGCAGCAGUAGGGAAUCUUCCGCAAUGGGCGAAAGCCUGACGGAGCAACGCCGCGUGAGUGAUGAAGGUCUUCGGAUCGUAAAACUCUGUUAUUAGGGAAGAACAAAUGUGUAAGUAACUAUGCACGUCUUGACGGUACCUAAUCAGAAAGCCACGGCUAACUACGUG
rnacentral:rRNA from 1 species